GGGGUCAUCCUGCCUGUGUUGCGUUGCGCCCGUGGGUCCACCUCCCUGGAGUCUUUCCACCUCCACCUCAACCGCUUCAUUCCUGGAACAAGUGCGUCUGCCGAGCACUUUCAGGCCUACCUCCUUGAAGGGUUGGUUCGGUGGAAUGAGGACCGUGCCGAAGCUGCAGCGGAGGGGGGGGGACAGAAGCAGACCCUGCACUGCUAUGAUGGUGUAGCCCAGCACGCCAUCAAUGAGCUGAGCCAGAAGCUCCUGGGCCGCAGUCUUGUGAAGGAUCACACAAGGCCUGCAAAGUACACUGGGGAACUCAUUGGGGUCGAGUAUCUCUUCUCCCAGACCCAUGGUGACCAGAGGU